GACGAACGCUGGCGGCGUGCUUAACACAUGCAAGUCGAACGGUGAAGGGACUGGUUUUGCUGGUCCUGGAUGAGUGGCGAACGGGUGAGUAACACGUGAGUAACCUGCCCCCUUCUUCUGGCUAACCGCAUGAAAGUGUGGCUAAUACGGGAUAUUCUGGGUCUGUCGCAUGGUGGGCCUGGGAAAGAUUGCGCCUUUUUUGGUGUUUUUGGUGGGGGUUGGGGUCGCGGCCUUUCAGCUUGUUGGUGGGGUGAUGGCCUACCAAGGGGGUGGCGGGUAGCCGGCCUGAGAGGGUGGACGGGCACAAUGGGAGAGAGGCCCGGCCCAGACUCCUACGGGAGGCAGCAGUGGGGAAUAUUGCACAAUGGGCGCAAGCCUGAUGCAGCGACGCCGCGUGAGGGAUGGAGGCCUUCGGGUUGUGAGCCUCUUUCGCCAGUGAAGCAGGCCCGCCUCUUUUUGUGGGUGGGUUGACGGUAGCUGGAGAAGAAGCGCCGGCUAACUACGUG
rnacentral:rRNA from 1 species